rnacentral:tRNA from 1 species
GCCGAGGUCGCUUAAUCCGGUAUAGCGCCGGUCUUGAAAACCGGUGUCCGAAAGGAUGUGCAGGUUCAAAUCCUGCCCUCGGCG